rnacentral:ncRNA from 10 species
AUCGUUCAACCCUGCAGUGGGUCGGAAGUAAGCUUCAGCUGAAGGAACGCGAU